GCCACAGCCACUUAUGAGAUGCUUCUGCAAUCUUCUUCCUUGUUGUCCUUGAAAUGGAGUACAAACCCUUCAAUCUGCACUUUCCAUAUCCCUUGUCAUCACUCCAAAUUACUAACUCCUCUGAGAUUCUCUGCUCUAAAAACCAGAGCCAUUCAUGACGAAAAGGACCAGAAUUCUCAACCUCCCGUUCUCAUUCAAGAUAAAGAAAAUGAACUACUCAACCAGGAAGUUGAAGAGAGUGUAAGAGUGCUGAAAAAUGCUGCCAAAACAAGAAAGGUUCCAGCAGAGGAGAUUUUAGCUGCUUUGGCUGCGAUCGAGAGAGCAAAAAUUGAUUCCUCCAGGUUUCUUGAGACUCUUGGUGGAGCCAAGUCGCCUGGAAGAACAUGGAUGCUCAUUUUUACAGCUGAUAAAGGAUUAGGACAAGGUAGAUAUUUCCCAAUUACAGCCAUACAGAGAUUUGAUGCAGCUGCGAAGAGGAUUGAAAAUGGUGUUUACCUGGGGCCUCUUGGAUUCUUGACAUUUGAAGGACCAUUUUCAUGGAAGAAUAGGAUUCUAGCUUUCGUGUUUGAGCGGCUUCGGAUAAAAGUUGGACCAUUCAAUCCUUUUGAUAUCAGUAUUAAGGGUAAAGAGGAAAGAGAACCUAGCAAUAAGGAUAAGGAUCCAUUUUUCAUCUGGUUUUACAUUGACGAGGAAAUAGCUGUUGCUCGAGGACGGAGUGGAGGGACAGCUUUCUGGGUCCGUUGUAGACGUGUUGGCUAUUCCUGAAAGCUUCUGUAUGUAUGUAUAGUUUUGACUCCCCCAGUGCACAUGAGGUUGCAUAGAAAUACUAUACUGCUGAAUUUAUGAAGUGUAUGGUAUAUGUAAAGGAACUAGGACAGAUUAUGUCAACCCUUCCUUCACUGUUUCAGUUCUUUUACUUGUGUGUUAAUAGGU
rnacentral:misc_RNA from 1 species